AGGGUCCAACUGCGGACUUGUUGGAAAGUUUGCACCAGGCGCUUCUGCUAAAGGCUUUUUAACAGAAUUCACUUCAGAAGAAUCAGGAGCAACUUUAUUGCCAAGUACAAUUUUACCCAUACGAGGAAUUUUUCUUUGUUUUUGCAGUUAAAAGCAGAAUGACAGUAAAACACAGAGUGACAAAAACUACAUACAGAAAAAGUGUAAGUGAAUGCCAGUGACACAAUGCCACGACACUACAACAUCCAUAGUUUCCCUCUCUUGUUGCUUUGCCCCGCCCUUCUUAUUCCUGGCCAAUGAGUGAAGAGAUUUUUAGUCACGUGGUUUUAUUUACAGGUUCCAUUAUGAAUAGACCCAAACGUUUACACUUAUAACACUUAGUUUUGCUACUUUGUUAUGGUGGAGACGUGCUGCAAGGCGGCUGCUACGGAGACGUUGGCUAUGAAGGUUCACUGAUAGUGUAUAUGAUACAUAAAUUGUUGGAAAAACAGUGUGAGAAGAAAUGCCUACCACAUUAAAAGUUGCUUUAAUGAGUCUGCAUUCAUCCAACCACAUUUCAAUGAGUUGUUGUGCCUCACUUGAAAGGUGAGUCCAAGAGCAGUUCCUGGUCCUGGAAGUCAUGUUCUUUGAGGAUCUUGAUCAUUUGGCCAGAUUGGAAAAAAAAA